AAGACUCUACUUUCAGGGAUCAUUUCUUUAGUUUGGAACUAGAGGAUUGUGUUUCUACAGAGGUUGGUCUUGCUGUCCAUGAUGAUGAAUGAAGAUGUUCCCUUCAGAGCAGGAAGCUGGUGAGAAGAUGAGAAUCUUCUUCACUGAUGAAGACUGUUCAGUGUUUCUGGAUGUGACACUGAAGGAGGAAACGUUGUCUGAGUGGAC
ensembl:snoRNA